rnacentral:misc_RNA from 1 species
UCAAAAAUGGCGGCCAAAGAUAAGAGUAAAAAAGGAGAGAAAUCCAUGGCACAGCAAAAAUCUAUAAAUUUAGGGACUUUCCUUAAAAGCUUGAUAAAACUGUCAAUAGUUAUCCCUUUGUCUGUUUAUCUUCUGUUAGUGGUUGUCAUGUACAAUUCAUCAUGGGCAAGAAAACAAGUUAUUUAUUUAAACUAUGUUAAAGAUCCCUUUACUGAUUAUUCCAAACCAUAUAAACAUGGAAUUGAAAAUUCAACAAAUUUUUACAUUAAUGGACCUGCUGGGAAGCUAGGAGCUUGGUAUGUAAAAGCAAAAAAUGAUGAAAUACCAUUUGACCAGCCAUUUCACCUUACAGAUGGAAACCCAGUAUUCAUUUAUUUUCAUGGAAAUGCAUUCUCUAGAGCAAAUGAGCAUCGAUUAGCAUUGUAUAAGGUUUUAUCAUCGCUGUCGUAUCAUGUUGUAACGAUAGAUUAUAGAGGUUUUGCUGAUUCAGAUGGUCAUCCAUCAGAACAAGGUCUUAUUGAGGAUGGUCUUGCUACUUGGGAUUGGGUUAAAUCGAGGUCCGCAGACGCACCUGUUUUCAUUUGGGGGCAUUCAUUAGGAUCCGCUGUGGCGGCUGGCGUAGCAAAAGUGCUAUGUGAUAAAGGUUCCCCGCCAUCUGGAAUCAUUCUUGAGGCGCCCUUCAAUAACGUUUAUGAUGCGGGAAAAGAACACGCCAUCGCAAAGCCAUUCAGAUUUUUACCCUUUUUUGAGGAGAUUGUGAUGGAUGAGGUAAAGCAACUUUUCAGAACGGACAAAAGUUGUAUGUACAAGCACGACAAAGUCGUCCUUCGAAUGCAAAACCCGUGCAUCUGAUCGAGUUUAAUGGCAAACAUGGGCAUAACUGGAUCUGUGAUUCUAAACUGUUGCCUCGCAUUUUAAGGGACUUCCUGGAGCAAAAUUCUUUGCAAAGUGAGCAAACCGUCUUCGCAGACAAAAAAGAUUAACCAAUGUCAUAAUUAACAAUUCUUUAACUCGUUGCUCGACUUAUUAUUUUGUUUUUUCACUUUUCGGAUUUUGCUUUUCACUCUUCGGGCUUUGUUUUUCCAUUUUCCACUUUGGCCCAGUUUUACACUUUUUAAAAUCGAAAAACAAAAACCGAAAAGUUGAAAGCGAAAUCCAAAAAAAUGAAAAUCACUUUUCGGAUUUUGUUUUUACACUUUAUGUUUUUGUUUUUAAACUUUUGAAAACCGAAAAAAUCCGAAAAGUCAAAAACAAAAUCCAUUGGCGACCCUACUGGGCUCGUAUCCCUGGUCAACUUCGUAGUCGUCAGUGUCGUUCGCAGAUCCACCCAAUCCCUCCCCACCGACGGAUCCGAGAGGAUCUGGGACCGAUACUAAUGACGGCUGGACAAAUUAUAUUAGACUUUUACUAGCCUGCAGAGCAGAGUUCUUGUAAUGUGUUUGAGAAAGAAUCGGGGUUUUGGGAUUCCUGUUUCAACUACGUGCCUGCGAGAAAAAUGGGACCUAGCAAAAAAAGGGAACGCUUUUUUUGCUCAAAUUUAAAUUUUCACUCGUUCCAAAUUUCCAAAGUUCCCAAAACCACAAGAACGCUAUGGCAAGCCGUUACUGCCAAAAGGGAUCGAGAUUUUUUUAAGGGGGGUUGAAAUUUUUUUCUUUGUCCAGAUUAACUUUUUAGCGAUCGAAAUAUAUAUAUACACUGUUCAAUUUUUUUAUUCCAGCCUCAGUUGCUGCUAGCGAGUUUUUCUGCUUAUUCUCG